CAAUCAGCGUCUUGCAUUCAGGGACAGCGUGUGAUCGGCAGCUCUGUGUCUGUGACUUAACCCUGCUGCAAGACUUGGAAACGGCAGCUUGUAAUUAAAACAUAUAGGCGCAUAUUUCUGGCUAAUUUGAACAGAGUUGUGUUUUUUUCCCACUGAUAAAAGCAGAUCCUGUUUAUACUGGUUUCCUCCCAGUGACCCUACUCUCCUGCCUCCAUACAUUGCAAUGGGGACUGACCCCAGUGUUGAACAGGGGCUCUCCCUCUGCUCCUUUCUACUGUACACAGGAAAUAUUUCCUUGGAGUGUGUUUAUCCAUGAUUUUUCAACUUUUCUUUCUUAAAAAAAAUGAUUUUAAAGGGCAGUCCAAGUGGACAGUGAGGUGAUUUAACUGUUGCUCUGUCAGAGCACGGGAGAUCUGUUGAUUCACUGAAUAUGAGAGUGGACAAAAAAAUAUAAUAGUGUAUUUAUUCCCUUAUUUUCCUUGACAGUCAUUGCAGGAAAUGGCACAUUUCUCAUCUUCCUUAUAUCUUUCAUGCACUUUUCUCUUCCUUAAUGUUUCACUCUCCUUCCUAGACCUGGGUUUUUGACCCUGCUGGGAACAUGCAAUGUAGAGCAACUGGGAAAUACAAGCAAACAGAAACAAGUACUGUACAAGGAAUAUGUUCAAAAGGACGGUUUUCUUAAAAAAACCCACCCAACAAACCCUUUAAAUUUUUUUUAAUGUGAACUGAAAAAAAAAAAAAAGAAAAGCCCAAACACCCAACACUUGAGGUCAAAUUACUCAUUUUCCUUAUGUUUUGAUGAAAACAUGUCAACCUCCAAAAUGAAGUAUCGCUUCUUACUGGGAUGCUAAACUCAGCAUGGGAUGAUCUCAACCCAUGGAACUUUGUAGCUGUAUCUUUGCAGCUACACAGAUUGCUGUCUAGAUAAAUAUAUCCCAUCUAAUCUACCCAGUGACAUACAGAGAUAAAGAAAACAUGUGCCUUUCUCCAAAGUUAAGGCUGGACUGAGCUUCUCAUGCACAGCAGGAUUUUAACCACCUUUUUGGUCACAAAAGAAAGGUUUUUCCCAAAUGAUGUGGUAGGAAAUGUCAUUAGGGUGAAGACUGCAUCCGCCUUACAUCUCGCCCUCCCUGGGUGAGCUCUCCUCCUCUCCCGACCUCUCCAAAGACAACUUGCCCACGUUGCUGAGAGGCUUGAGCUGGCCUGGACUGCAGGGUUCGAAUGGGACGCAGGGAUGGGAUAGCUGAGCUGAAGGUGCACUUUUUGGGGGGGGGGAGGCUGGGGGUUGCCACCUCGUGGGCUGCUCAGGGCUGAUGGACUUGCCCCAACCAUGCAUAAAUUCUUUGGGGUUGCACUGAUGCCUUUCGUCUCCCAACCAGGGCAGGGAAGAGAGCACGUCCCAUGCUGUCACUGCAGCUCAGCUAAUGAACAUCAACUCAUUAAGAUCCAGUUACCUCGUUGCUUUCCAUCUGUCUCCUUGUUUCAGUCUAAACCAGGGCUAUUACAGUUAAUUUAAACCAAUGAAGAACAGGUUUAUACUAAUGCUCGUAAACCCAAAUGGAAGUGUUCGAGUAGGUCUGCAUGGAGGAACUGAAGGGCUUGAAGUAAACACAGACGGAGAUCUGCGAGCCCCUGGACCUUGCCAAUCUCUUGGGUUUGAGCUGGAAGGAGGUACAGCGCCUUCCCCUCUUGACGCAUUACAUCUCUUUCCUCCCUUUUUUAAAAGUUUUUUUACCAGUUUGGGCAGAGUUUAUCCUAGGACUUGGGUAGUGCCAUAUAGCACUGUGAACAGGGCUUUUUAAAUUAAAAGAAAGACACGUACACCUGAUGAACAGUGUUUGUCACGCUGUAAUUGCAUGUUACGCCUGAGUCUUGAAAAGGAAAGGCAUUUUUUUUUUCAGUGCAAAAGGCCACAGCUUAAAGGAUUUUGAUCAACGUUUGCAUGUACUCCAGAUUUACGCGAGGUACACCAAGGAGAGCGGUGCCCUGGGUACACCCUUGCUCUGCAAAGGAAAAUUAGCCGCGGUGGAGCUGCCUGCAGCAUCUCCUGGGUCCAGAGCUGGGAGAGAUGGAUCCUGCUUGCAUUCAGUGCAGAACAGAGCUGAAAUGAUGAUAUUUAAGUGAUUGUAAAGGUGGGCUUGCCUUGCCUUGGGAAGGACAUCACAAAAUCCUCUAGGAAGCCGGGAUCGGCCUUUGCUACAUGUGCCUCUAAGGCCAUGUCCAGCUGGAGUGCAAUGGAAGUGCUGUUACAGAGCCUGGCUGUGAUUAACAGUGAAGAGUCUCAGGAGCAGAAAUUCCUUUGGCUUCCUGGGCACAAGAGCUGACACAGCAAGUGGAGGGAAGAGAGGCUGAAGCUAACAGGAGCCCCUCCGAACUCAAAACGAGAGGUGGCAUAAAACGAGGUGGCAAAGCAUCUUUCAAGCCAUCAGCAAUCAGUGCCCAUGGACAUGCAUGGGCUACAGGCAUUUCAGAAGGAGCAAGCCUCCACCCCAAAUCUCAGACACAGCCUAAGACAGUGGAUGGGAGCCAAGGAAAGAUGCCAGGUUUUUUGUGUUCAAGGAGAAGAGUUCUGAGUGCCAUGCUGAUAUCUGGGCAGCCAAGGCAGGUGGGAUGGGUAGAUAGAACAAGCAGAUAAGUGUGGCUUAUAGGGCUGGUUGGACGUGUUUGUUAUUUCAGUGGGAAUGUUGAUGUGUUCAAAAUGAAGCAUUCCUCAGGGAUGUUCUUUUUUUGUUUUUUGCUCUGUUAAGAGCCGUAUAAUAAAAUACUUCAAUACCAAGAAGAACAUUUUAGAUCCGCAUUUCAAACCACUUUUUUUCAGGGGGGAAUGAGCAAAACAUAAGGCCAAUUACUUCAGAAAUUACUAACAGAAUUAGCAAUUAGCAGAUCAAUUGCUAAUGAUGAUGUAAGAAGAGCAGUCACUGAUGUAUAGAAUAAAAUAAAUAACAGCAUAAAAGAUAAA